CCUACGGGGGGCAGCAGUUGGGAAUAUUGGACAAUGGGGGGAACCCUGAUCCAGCCAUGCCGCGUGUGUGAAGAAGGCCCUCGGGUUGUAAAGCACUUUCAGUGAGGAAGAACGCCUGGUGGUUAAUACCCAUCAGGAAAGACAUCACUCACAGAAGAAGCACCGGCUAACUCCGUGCCAGCAGCCGCGGUAAUACGGAGGGUGCGAGCGUUAAUCGGAAUUACUGGGCGUAAAGCGCGCGUAGGUGGCUUGAUAAGCCGGUUGUGAAAGCCCCGGGCUCAACCUGGGAACGGCAUCCGGAACUGUCAAGCUAGAGUGCAGGAGAGGAAGGUAGAAUUCCCGGUGUAGCGGUGAAAUGCGUAGAGAUCGGGAGGAAUACCAGUGGCGAAGGCGGCCUUCUGGACUGACACUGACACUGAGGUGCGAAAGCGUGGGUAGCAAACAGGAUUAGAUACCCGGGUAGUC
rnacentral:rRNA from 1 species